rnacentral:rRNA from 1 species
GAUGAACGCUCGCUACAGGCUUAACACAUGCAAGUCGAGGGGCAGCAUGGUCUUAGCUUGCUAAGGCCGAUGGCGACCGGCGCACGGGUGAGUAACACGUAUCCAACCUGCCGUCUACUCUUGGACAGCCUUCUGAAAGGAAGAUUAAUACAAGAUGGCAUCAUGAGUCCGCAUGUUCACAUGAUUAAAGGUAUUCCGGUAGACGAUGGGGAUGCGUUCCAUUAGAUAGUAGGCGGGGUAACGGCCCACCUAGUCUUCGAUGGAUAGGGGUUCUGAGAGGAAGGUCCCCCACAUUGGAACUGAGACACGGUCCACACUCCUACGGGAGGCAGCAGUGAGGAAUAUUGGUCAAUGGGCGCAGGCCUGAACCAGCCAAGUAGCGUGAAGGAUGACUGCCCUCUGGGUUGUAAACUUCUUUUAUAAAGGAAUAAAGUCGGGUAUGUAUACCCGUUUGCAUGUACUUUAUGAAUAAGGAUCGGCUAACUCCGUG